GACAGAGGAUGCAAGCGUUAUCCGGAAUGAUUGGGCGUAAAGCGUCUGUAGGUGGUCAAAUAAGUCAACUGUUAAAUCUUGAGGCUCAACCUCAAAAAUCGCAGUCGAAACUAUUCGACUAGAGUAUAGUAGGGUAAAGGGAAUUUCCAGUGGAGCGGGUGAAAUGCGUAGAGAUUGGAAAGAACACCGAUGGCGAAGGCAACUUUACUGGGCUAUUACUAACAUCUGAGAGACGAAAGCUAAGGGUAGCAAAUGGGA
rnacentral:rRNA from 1 species